UGGGGAAUAUUGCACAAUGGGGGAAACCCUGAUGCAGCGACGCAGCGUGCGGGAUGACGGCCUUCGGGUUGUAAACCGCUUUCAGCAGGGAAGAAGCGAAAGUGACGGUACCUGCAGAAGAAGUACCGGCUAACUACGUGCCAGCAGCCGCGGUAAUACGUAGGGUACGAGCGUUGUCCGGAAUUAUUGGGCGUAAAGAGCUCGUAGGUGGUUGGUCACGUCUGCUGUGGAAACGCAACGCUUAACGUUGCGCGUGCAGUGGGUACGGGCUGACUAGAGUGCAGUAGGGGAGUCUGGAAUUCCUGGUGUAGCGGUGAAAUGCGCAGAUAUCAGGAGGAACGCCGGUGGCGAAGGCGGGACUCUGGGCUGAAACUGACACUGAGGAGCGAAAGCAUGGGGAGCGAACAGG
rnacentral:rRNA from 1 species